rnacentral:rRNA from 1 species
GACGAACGCUGGCGGCGUGCUUAACACAUGCAAGUCGAACGCUGAAGCUCAGCUUUUGUUGGGUGGAUGAGUGGCGAACGGGUGAGUAACACGUGAGUAACCUGCCCCCUUCUUUGGGAUAACGCCCGGAAACGGGUGCUAAUACUGGAUAUUCACUGGUCUUCGCAUGGGGGUUGGUGGAAAGGGUUUUUCUGGUGGGGGAUGGGCUCGCGGCCUAUCAGCUUGUUGGUGGGGUGAUGGCCUACCAAGGCUUUGACGGGUAGCCGGCCUGAGAGGGUGACCGGUCAGAUUGGGACUGAGAUACGGCCCAGACUCCUACGGGAGGCAGCAGUGGGGAAUAUUGCACAAUGGGCGCAAGCCUGAUGCAGCGACGCCGCGUGAGGGAUGGAGGCCUUCGGGUUGUGAACCUCUUUCGCUCAUGGUCAAGCCGCAACAAUGGUUGUGGUGAGGGUAGUGGGUAAAGAAGCGCCGGCUAACUACGUG